rnacentral:rRNA from 1 species
AACGAACGCUGGCGGCAUGCCUAACACAUGCAAGUCGAACGAGACCUUCGGGUCUAGUGGCGCACGGGUGCGUAACGCGUGGGAACCUGCCCUUAGGUUCGGAAUAACUCCCCGAAAGGGGUGCUAAUACCGGAUAAUGUCUUCGGACCAAAGAUUUAUCGCCUUUGGAUGGGCCCGCGUUGGAUUAGCUAGUUGGUAGGGUAAAAGCCUACCAAGGCGACGAUCCAUAGCUGGUCUGGGAGGAUGAUCAGCCACACUGGGACUGAGACACGGCCCAGACUCCUACGGGAGGCAGCAGUGGGGAAUAUUGGACAAUGGGCGAAGGCCUGAUCCAGCAAUGCCGCGUGAGUGAUGAAGGCCUUAGGGUUGUAAAGCUCUUUUACCCGGGAUGAUAAUGACAGUACCGGGAGAAUAAGCUCCGGCUAACUCCGUG